rnacentral:pre_miRNA from 1 species
UGUAACAGCAACUCCAUGUGGACUUGUCCUUUUCCAGUGGAGAUGCUGUUACUUU